GACGAACGCUGGCGGCGUGCUUAACACAUGCAAGUCGAACGGAAAGGCCCUGCUUUUGUGGGGUGCUCGAGCGGCGAACGGGUGAGUAACACGUGAGUAACCUGCCCUUGACUUUGGGAUAACUUCAGGAAACUGGGGCUAAUACCGGAUAGGAGCUCCUGCUGCAUGGUGGGGGUUGGAAAGUUUCGGCGGUUGGGGAUGGACUCGCGGCUUAUCAGCUUGUUGGUGGGGUAGUGGCUUACCAAGGCUUUGACGGGUAGCCGGCCUGAGAGGGUGACCGGCCACAUUGGGACUGAGAUACGGCCCAGACUCCUACGGGAGGCAGCAGUGGGGAAUAUUGCACAAUGGGCGGAAGCCUGAUGCAGCAACGCCGCGUGCGGGAUGACGGCCUUCGGGCUGUAAACCGCUUUCGCCUGUGACGAAGCGUGAGUGACGGUAAUGGGUAAAGAAGCACCGGCUAACUACGUG
rnacentral:rRNA from 1 species